GUCAGGAUGUCCGAGCGUCUAAGGCGCUGCGUUCAGGUCGCAGUCUCCCCUGGAGCGUGGUUCGAAUCCCACUUCUGACA
rnacentral:tRNA from 1 species